UAGGGAAUCUUCCGCAAUGGGCGAAAGCCUGACGGAGCAAUGCCGCGUGAGUGAAGAAGGCCUUCGGGUCGUAAAACUCUGUUAUAAGAGAAGAACAAAUUGUAGAGUAACUGCUACAGUCUUGACGGUAUCUUAUCAGAAAGCCACGGCUAACUACGUGCCAGCAGCCGCGGUAAUACGUAGGUGGCAAGCGUUGUCCGGAUUUAUUGGGCGUAAAGGGAGCGCAGGUGGUUUCUUAAGUCUGAUGUGAAAGCCCACGGCUUAACCGUGGAGGGUCAUUGGAAACUGGGAAACUUGAGUACAGAAGAGGAAUGUGGAACUCCAUGUGUAGCGGUGGAAUGCGUAGAUAUAUGGAAGAACACCAGUGGCGAAGGCGACAUUCUGGUCUGUUACUGACACUGAGGCUCGAAAGCGUUGGGAGCAAACAGG
rnacentral:rRNA from 1 species